AACGUAGGACGCGAGCGUUAUCCGGAUUUACUGGGCGUAAAGCGCGUGCAGGCGGCUCGUUAAGUCGUGCGUGAAAGCUCCCUGGCUCAACCGGGAGAGGUCGUACGAAACUAGCGGGCUAGAGGACAGUAGAGGCGUGUGGAAUUCCGGGUGUAGUGGUGAAAUGCGUAGAUAUCCGGAGGAACACCAGUGGCGAAGGCGACACGCUGGGCUGUACCUGACGCUAAGACGCGAAAGCAUGGGUA
rnacentral:rRNA from 1 species